GAGUUUGAUCCUGGCUCAGGAUGAACGCUAGCGGCAGGCUUAACACAUGCAAGUCGAACGCCCCGCAAGGGGAGUGGCGCACGGGUGAGUAACGCGUGGGAAUAUGCCCUUCGGUUCGGAAUAACACAGGGAAACUUGUGCUAAUACCGGAUACGAUCUACGGAUGAAAGAUUUAUCGCCGAGGGAGUAGCCCGCGUAGGAUUAGCUAGUUGGUGAAGUAAUGGCUCACCAAGGCGACGAUCCUUAGCUGGUCUGAGAGGAUGAUCAGCCACACUGGGACUGAGACACGGCCCAGACUCCUACGGGAGGCAGCAGUGGGGAAUAUUGGACAAUGGGGGAAACCUGAUCCAGCCAUGCCGCGUGAGUGAUGAAGGCCUUAGGGUUGUAAAGCUCUUUCGCCAGGGAAGAUAAUGACGGUACCU
rnacentral:rRNA from 1 species